rnacentral:rRNA from 1 species
AGGACGAACGCUGGCGGCGUGCUUAACACAUGCAAGUCGAGCGGAAAGGCCCUUCGGGGUACUCGAGCGGCGAACGGGCGAGUAACACGUGAGCAACCUGCCCUUAGCUUCGGGAUAGCUCCGGGAAACCGGAAUUAAUACCGAAUAUGACUGCGGCUGACAUCAGCCAUGGUGAAAAGUUUUUCGGCUAGGGAUGGACUCGCGGCCUAUCAGCUAGUUGGUGAGGUAACGGCCCACCAAGGCGACGACGGGUA